UGUAGAGAAUCUGCCCUGUACUGGGGAACAACAGAGGGAAACUUCUGCUAAUACCCCAUAUGAGCGUACCUGCGAUGGUAUUCUUGAAAGUUCCGGCGGUACAGGAUGAGUCUGCAUCUGAUUAGCUAGUUGGUGGUGUAAUGGACUACCAAGGCGACGAUCAGUAGCUGGUUUGAGAGGAUGAUCAGCCACAAUGGGACUGAGACACGGCCCAUACUCCUACGGAAGGCAGCAG
rnacentral:rRNA from 1 species